CCCCCCCGUUUUCUUCUUCCUCUCCCCGAGCUGUCGCUCUCUCUUUCUCUCCUCUGCAACUCCGGUUGCUUUCUCUUUCCGGCCACCAAAAAGCGUGAAACCGGUGGCUACGGACUCGUCUCGACCUCCUCUUGGCGCUGGCGGUGGUGGCUCACGGCGGCUUGGCCAGAAAACGACGCAUCAAGCCUUAGAAGUUUACUGUAGCAGUUUGAGUCAACGCCGAUUUCUUCCUAUUCCGGCCACCGACGACGACGAACCAUAAUCAUUUGGAAGCGGCUUGCGAUGUAGAUGAUGCUCCCCAAAUCUUUUGCAACGAUUUGCAGUGUAGAGGAAGAAUCGACGAUUGGAAGAUUACGGUCACUAUUCACAGUUUGAGUUCAAGCUUCUCCUUAAUUGUUGAGGGCAAUGCCGCGAGCUACGGUUAAAUGAAGGAACUCGUUUGCGUGGUCGCCCAAUAGUACUUUUGCAGGCGAAAUUAGUUGAGGUCGGGCGUACAUGGAGUCGAGGCAUAGCCAACAGCAUUGCUUCCGCGUACUCAUUCUAUUUCUGUUUUCUUUGUUACCUAGUGGAUUAGUAUUGCUCUGAUAACCUAUGGGAUUAAUAUUGUUUUUGGGUUGAGACUGAUAUUUGUGAAAUUGGAGUUGUGAUUUGGGAAGCAGAUGGCUCCAGAAGAUUAAGGAUGGAUGAUUUAGAAGUGUAAA